AAUCCAUGGUGUGGACAUUUCCGAAACAAAUUUCGAAACCUCCCAUGUUUCAUAUAAUGACUCACCAUCCAAUUGACUAAACUAGUAAUAUCCAUUCUAAACUU